rnacentral:rRNA from 1 species
UACGUAGGUCCCGAGCGUUGUCCGGAUUUAUUGGGUUUAAAGGGAGCGUAGGCGGGUUGUUAAGUCAGUUGUGAAAGUUUGCGGCUCAACCGUAAAAUUGCAGUUGAUACUGGCAUCCUUGAGUACAGUAGAGGUAGGCGGAGUUCGUGGUGUAGCGGUGAAAUGCUUAGAUAUCACGAAGAACUCCGAUUGCGAAGGCAGCCUGCUGGACUGCAACUGACGCUGAUGCUCGAAAGUGUGGGUAUCAAACAGG